GCUGAAUGCAAUCACUUGUUCAAAAGCAUAACCACAAUUUAAACAAAUAUAAAUUUCAGAUGAAAUUGUUGGAGAUGAAAGUGCAUACGAAACAUUGGAUGUUAGAUCUCUCGGUAAUAACAAGUAUGGUUCAGCAAACGUCCAAACAUCUGAAGAUAAAGCUUCUGAUGAAAAGGAGCAAUAUGUGAACAUGAUGAUUUAAGUCUUUGACGUGAACAUAACAUCAAAAAUCAUUAUGACAUCAUUGACGAUGAAGUGAAAAUUUUGUCUCUAGAUUUUGCAAUAAGUUGUACAUGCGCUGUGAUGGUGUUAUAUUUGAUGAAAUGACAGAUUUGAAGAAUAUAUUGUUCAAAACAAUUCUUUCUUAUGAUAAUUUAAUUAGUCUAAUACAUUCAUUAAUGUCCCAGAGAUAUUGUCCCAGUUUUAAUAAAUAGCCAAUUCGUCAACAAAAUCAGUUUGGCGUUAAAGAGUAAUUGACUAUAAAUGGCACAAUACUGUCUACAAAGAUUGUGUUGCUUACUUGUCUUUAUGUUUUGUAAUCCUUAAUACUCUGAAAAUCAUAUGUACUGUUUUACUGUAUAUAAUCCCUUUUAAAAUCUUAGAUAUAUGCAAGAGAGAAUAAAUAUACAUGUAUUAUA